UACGUAGGGGGCAAGCGUUGUUCGGAAUUACUGGGCGUAAAGGGCGCGUGGGCGGCGCGGUAAGUCGGGAGUGAAAGCCCGGGGCUCAACCCCAGAACGUCUUUCGAAACUGCCGAGCUAGAGUGCGGAAGAGGCAACUGGAAUUCCCAGUGUAGCGGUGAAAUGCGUAGAUAUUGGGAAGAACACCUGAGGCGAAGGCGGGUUGCUGGGCCGACACUGACGCUGAGGCGCGAAAGCCAGGGGAGCGAACGGG
rnacentral:rRNA from 1 species